GAUGAAGAACGCAGCGAAAUGCGAUAAGUAAUGUGAAUUGCAGAAUUCAGUGAAUCAUCGAAUCUUUGAACGCACAUUGCGCCCGCCAGUAUUCUGGCGGGCAUGCCUGUCCGAGCGUCAUUUCAACCAUCAAGCCCCGGGCUUGUGUUGGGGACCUGCGUCCGACGCAGGCCCUGAAAACCAGUGGCGGGCUCGCUGUCCACACCGAGCGUAGUAACUAACCUCGCUAUGGAGUGGCGCGGGCGCCUGCCGUAAAACCCCCAAAUUCACAAGGUUGACCUCGGAUCAGGUAGGAAUACCCGCUGAACUUAAGCAUAUCAAUAAGCGGAGGA
rnacentral:misc_RNA from 1 species